UACGAAGGGGGCUAGCGUUGCUCGGAAUCACUGGGCGUAAAGCGCACGUAGGCGGCUUUCUAAGUCAGGGGUGAAAUCCUGGAGCUCAACUCCAGAACUGCCUUUGAUACUGGAGAGCUUGAGUCCGGAAGAGGUGAGUGGAACUCCGAGUGUAGAGGUGAAAUUCGUAGAUAUUCGGAAGAACACCAGUGGCGAAGGCGGCUCACUGGUCCGGUACUGGCGCUGAUGUGCGAAAGCGUGGGGAGCAAACAGG
rnacentral:rRNA from 1 species